rnacentral:rRNA from 1 species
UACGGGGGGAGCAAGCGUUGUUCGGAUUUACUGGGCGUAAAGGGCGCGUAGGCGGUCAGCACAAGUCAGUUGUGAAAUCUCCGGGCUUAACUCGGAAAGGUCAACUGAUACUGUGCGACUAGAGUGCAGAAGGGGCAACUGGAAUUCUCGGUGUAGCGGUGAAAUGCGUAGAUAUCGAGAGGAACACCGGUGGCGAAGGCGGCCUUCUGGACAGUGACUGACGCUGAGGCGCGAAAGCUGGGGGAGCGAACGGG